rnacentral:rRNA from 1 species
AACAGGAUUAGAUACCCUGGUAGUCCACGCCGUAAACGAUGUCGACUUGGAGGUUGUUCCCUUGAGGAGUGGCUUCCGGAGCUAACGCGUUAAGUCGACCGCCUGGGGAGUACGGCCGCAAGGUUAAAACUCAAAUGAAUUGACGGGGGCCCGCACAAGCGGUGGAGCAUGUGGUUUAAUUCGAUGCAACGCGAAGAACCUUACCUACUCUUGACAUCCACGGAAUUUGGCAGAGAUGCCUUAGUGCCUUCGGGAACCGUGAGACAGGUGCUGCAUGGCUGUCGUCAGCUCGUGUUGUGAAAUGUUGGGUUAAGUCCCACAACGAGCGCAACCCUUAUCCUUUGUUGCCAGCGAUUCGGUCGGGAACUCAAAGGAGACUGCCGGUGAUAAACCGGAGGAAGGUGGGGAUGACGUCAAGUCAUCAUGGCCCUUACGAGUAGGGCUACACACGUGCUACAAUGGCGCAUACAAAGAGAAGCGACCUCGCGAGAGCAAGCGGACCUCACAAAGUGCGUCGUAGUCCGGAUCGGAGUCUGCAACUCGACUCCGUGAAGUCGGAAUCGCUAGUAAUCGUGGAUCAGAAUGCCACGGUGAAUACGUUCCCGGGCCUUGUACACACCGCCCGUCACACCAUGGGAGUGGGUUGCAAAAGAAGUAGGUAGCUUAACCUUCGGGAGGGCGCUUACCACUUUGUGAUUCAUGACUGGGGUGAAGUCGUAACAAGGUAACC